rnacentral:rRNA from 1 species
AUCGGAAUCUACUUUUUCGUGGGGGAUAACGUAGGGAAACUUACGCUAAUACCGCAUACGACCUACGGGUGAAAGCAGGGGAUCUUCGGACCUUGCGCGAUUGAAUGAGCCGAUGUCGGAUUAGCUAGUUGGCGGGGUAAAGGCCCACCAAGGCGACGAUCCGUAGCUGGUCUGAGAGGAUGAUCAGCCACACUGGAACUGAGACACGGUCCAGACUCCUACGGGAGGCAGCAGUGGGGAAUAUUGGACAAUGGGCGCAAGCCUGAUCCAGCCAUACCGCGUGGGUGAAGAAGGCUUUCGGGUUGUAAAGCCCUUUUGUUGGGAAAGAAAUCCAGCUGGUUAAUACCCGGUUGGGAUGACGGUACCCAAAGAAUAAGCACCGGCUAACUUCGUGCCAGCAGCCGCGGUAAUACGAAGGGUGCAAGCGUUACUCGGAAUUACUGGGCGUAAAGCGUGCGUAGGUGGUCGUUUAAGUCCGUUGUGAAAGCCCUGGGCUCAACCUGGGAACUGCAGUGGAUACUGGGCGACUAGAGUGUGGUAGAGGGUAGCGGAAUUCCUGGUGUAGCAGUGAAAUGCGUAGAGAUCAGGAGGAACAUCCAUGGCGAAGGCAGCUACCUGGACCAACACUGACACUGAGGCACGAAAGCGUGGGGAGCAAAC